rnacentral:rRNA from 1 species
AUUGAACGCUGGCGGCAGGCCUAACACAUGCAAGUCGCACGAGUGGCGGACGGGUGAGUAAUGUCUGGGAAACUGCCUGAUGGAGGGGGAUAACUACUGGAAACGGUAGCUAAUACCGCAUACCAUCAGAUGUGCCCAGAUGGGAUUAGCUAGUUGGUGGGGUAACGUCUCACCAAGGCGACGAUCCCUAGCUGGUCUGAGAGGAUGACCACACACACUGGAACGGAGACAGGGUACAGACUCCUACGGGAGGCAGAAGUGGGGAAUAUUGCACACUGGGCGAAAGCCUGAUGCAGCCAUGACGCGUGUAUGAAGAAGGCCUUCGGGUUGUAAAGUACUCUCAGCGGGGAGGCGUUACCCGCAGAAGAAGCACCGGCUAACUCCGUGUCAGCAGCCGCGGUAAUUC